rnacentral:rRNA from 1 species
UACGUAGGGCGCGAGCGUUGUCCGGAAUUAUUGGGCGUAAAGAGCUCGUAGGUGGCUUGUUGCGUCUGACGUGAAAGCCCGUGGCUUAACUACGGGUCUGCGGUGGAUACGGGCAGGCUAGAGGCUGGUAGGGGCAAGCGGAAUUCCUGGUGUAGCGGUGAAAUGCGCAGAUAUCAGGAGGAACACCGGUGGCGAAGGCGGCUUGCUGGGCCAGUUCUGACGCUGAGGAGCGAAAGCGUGGGGAGCGAACAGG